ACCUCCUGGACGCCGGGAUGGAUGCUGGAGGACGCCGCGCUCGGACCGGGCGCAGCCGCGGCUGCUCAGAUGUGUGACAUUUGCCAGGCGACCUUCCCUGCGGACACCACAGCUCAGGCUGACUAUUUAAAGCACGUCUUAACCCAUAUGAAGUAGGGCUUUAGGACUUCGUGCUCAGGAAACCCACGUGUGUGCAACUGUGAGCAGCGCGAUGGGCUCCGGACCUUCAUGAGAUGCGGCUGCUGGGUCAGCCCGGGUUGCAGCCCCAUUCUGUGCCACCUGGGUCGGUUCCUACUGUGCUGCCUGGAGGCUCAGCCGGGGUUCUGGGUGUGUUUCAGCUCAUUGAGCUUCAUGGAUAUCAAAACUGCUUCUGUGCUGAGCUCCAGAUGUGCGUGGGAGGUUUGGGGAGCUGCAGCUUAAUGGGAAAUGGACGUUUUUCCAAAGCUCUCCGUAACUGGAAAAUGCUGAAAUGUUGUUCGUUUGUUUGUUUGUUUGUUUUCCUUGAAUAGAGAGAGGCAUUUGAAAGCUGCAUUGUUGCUUUUUCCAAGAACACAGGAGAGGGGAUCACCACGUUUUCGUGGCACUAAGUCUGAACUUGCCUUUGGAGAGAGCUCUAGCGCUGCAUGCACGGUGCCACCCGCCCUGCAGCAAUCCUUAUCUCAGACCUUUAUGCUUAACAAGUAGCUCUGAAACAGAUCUGGCAUCGCAUCUUUGAGGCAACUUGCAUUUAAAUCAACGUCCGACGCCUCUGCUUCCAUGGAUCAAGAUUAAUUCCCGUCUCCAGCUCCAGAAUCUCAUCUUUAGCAGCACAGAUAACAGCAAUGACUCGAGGCUCUUCCCAGAAGCAUAACUGCAUUAUGAGGCGGCGGAGCUGAUGACGAACAUCUGUGCACCCUGAGGAACUCGUCCUUCAGACGGGCAGGGACUGACAUGCGUGGGGCAGCACCGGGUCCUGGCAGUUUGGGAUUUACAGACCUGGGGGUUUGCAGUCACUUUUCAGGGGACCAUUUUCCUGGAUGGAGCCCUCAGCUCUCUCAGAGCCACAGCUCCGGGCUGAGUUCCUUCCAUGCAGAUUCUGGAGCUGCUCCUCGCCCUGAGCGUGACCAAGACCUUAACUUGCUGGGGGUCAAAGUGGGGGUUCUCACAUCACGGUGCAGCCUCCCCAUUGGCAUCUCCAACAGCUCCAAGCUGCCUCCUGUGGCUCCCUGAUGGUGGCAUCAUUGUGUGGUGUUUUGUGCCCCUCUGUAGGGCCUGGAUGAAAAUAUCAGUCCGCAGCUUGCAGAGUUACUAGAAGCACCGGCUCUAACAGCACUCUGCAUCAAGAAGGGCUAUAAAUUCAUUUGGCAUAAAAUUGUAACAGCCAUCCAGAAUUUGCCAGAAGGAAGAAAACCAACCCAGUUCCUCCUGCUCUGAGAGCAAGUCCAAUAAAU
rnacentral:lncRNA from 1 species